GUCUUUUUGAAAAUAAUAAAUAAAAAGUCUAACCUGCCCUCUGAAUUUAAUUUAAAUGGCCGCGGUAUUUUGACCGUGCAAAGGUAGCAUAAUCAAUAGUUUUUUAAUUGAAAGCUUGUAUGAAUGGUUGGAUGAAAAAUUUACUGUUUCAAUUUAAUUUAUAAUAGAAUUUUAUUAUUGUGUUAAAAAGCAUAAAUAUAAUUAAAAGACGAGAAGACCCUAUAGAGCUUUAUAAUUUUAUAAAUUUUAUUUAUAAAGAUUAAUAAAAAUAUUAUUUUAUAAAUUAUUUUAUUGGGGUGAUAGUAAGAUUUAAAAAACUCUUAAUAUAAAAAAACAAUAAUUAUUGAUUUGUAGAUCCAUAAAUAGUGAUUAUAAGUUUAAGUUACCUUAGGGAUAACAGCGUAAUUUUUUUUAGAGUUCUUAUCGAAAAAAAAGAUUGCGACCUCGAUGUUGGAUUAAGAAUAAAUUUAGGUGUAGAAGUUUAAAAUUUAGGUCUGUUCGACCUUUAAAUUCUU
rnacentral:rRNA from 1 species